rnacentral:tRNA from 1 species
CAGGGAGACAACAAAAUGUUAAAUAUUAAUUUUGUCACCUUAGGUCGAUCGGUAUCUCAGGUUCUUAAUUACUUUAAGAAUUUCAUUUCCUAAGUUUUUUCUAGGUCACACCCAUUACUUUCCCUGGGCCAUUAGCUCAGGUGGUUAGAGCGCACCCCUGAUAAGGGUGAGGUCCCUGGUUCAAGUCCAGGAUGGCCCAUAUCUCUAUGUUGGGGGUAUAGCUCAGUUGGUAGAGCGCCUGCUUUGCAAGCAGGAUGUCAGCGGUUCGAGUCCGCUUACCUCCACUGAUUACCACCUCUUCCAUAAAUUUAAAGAAGGGAAUAGUUUUGAGCGUUGAUUUACUUCUGAACGAAUCUAGCUUCCUAAUAAAUACAUUAAGAUGCUGGACUCAUUGAAUUUUAUUCAUUGUUUUCAGAGAACCUUGACAACUGCAUAGAUUAUUUUUAAAGACAAUAAGCAUCUUUAAUGAUGCAGAUUUAUUAUUUGUGCUAAUGCAUUAAUAACAAUUCUAUUGAGCUGAUGCUUCAAUUUUUGAAGUUAUU